UACGUAGGGGGCUAGCGUUGUCCGGAAUCAUUGGGCGUAAAGCGCGCGUAGGCGGCCCGGUAAGUCCGCUGUAAAAGUCAAAGGCUCAACCUUUGAAUGUCAGUGGAUACUGCCGGGCUAGAGUCCGGAAGAGGCGAGUGGAACUCCUGGUGUAGCGGUGGAAUGCGCAGAUAUCAGGAAGAACACCGACGGCGAAAGCACUCUGCUGGGCCGACACUGACACUGAGAGACGAAAGCUAGGGGAGCAAAUGGG
rnacentral:rRNA from 1 species